rnacentral:rRNA from 1 species
CAGCCCGCCGCGGUAAUACGAAGGGUGCAAGCGUUAAUCGGAAUUACUGGGCGUAAAGCGUGCGUAGGCGGUGAGUUAAGUCUGCUGUGAAAUCCCCGGGCUCAACCUGGGAAUGGCAGUGGAUACUGGCUCGCUAGAGUGUGUCAGAGGAUGGUGGAAUUCCCGGUGUAGCGGUGAAAUGCGUAGAGAUCGGGAGGAACAUCAGUGGCGAAGGCGGCCAUCUGGGACAACACUGACGCUGAGGCACGAAAGCGUGGGGAGCAAACAGGAUUAGAUACCCGAGUAGUCCCUGUCUCUUAUA